rnacentral:rRNA from 1 species
CGGCUUUGCUGUCACUUAUAGAUGGAUCCGCGCCGUAUUAGCUAGUUGGUAAGGUAACGGCUUACCAAGGCCAACGAUACGUAGCCGACCCUGAGAGGGUGAUCGGCCACACUGGGAACUGGAGACACGGUCCAGACUCCUACGGGAGGCAGCAGUAGGGAAUCUUCCGCAAUGGGCGAAAGCCUGACGGAGCAACACGGCGUGGAGUGAUGAAGGUCUUUCGGAUCGUAAAACUCUGUUAUCAGGGAAGAACAAAUGUGUAAGUAACUGUGCACAUCUUGACGGUACCUGAUCAAGAAAGCCACGGCUAACUACGUGCCAGCAGCCGCGGUAAUACGUAGGUGGCAAGCGUUAUCCGGAAUUAUUGGGCGUAAAGCGCGCGUAGGCGGGUUUUUUAAGUCUGAUGUGAAAGCCCACGGCUCAACCGUGGAGGGUCAUUGGAAACUGGAAAACUUGAGUGCAGAAGAGGAAAGUGGAAUUCCAUGUGUAGCGGUGAAAUGCGCAGAGAUAUGGAGGAACACCAGUGGCGAAGGGCGACUUUCUGGUCUGUAACUGACGCUGAUGUGCGAAAGCGUGGGGAUCAAACAGGAUUAGAUACCCUGGUAGUCCACGCCGUAAACGAUGAGUGCUAAGUGUUAGGGGGUUUCCGCCCCUUAGUGCUGCAGCUAACGCAUUAAGCACUCCGCCUGGGGAGUACGACCGCAAGGUGAAACUCAAAGGAAUUGACGGGACCCGCACAAGCGGUGGAGCAU